rnacentral:rRNA from 1 species
UACGUAGGCAGCGAGCGUUGUUCGGAGUUACUGGGCGUAAAGCGUGCGUAGGCGGUGGUCCAAGUCUGGUGUGAAAUCUCCCGGCUUAACUGGGAGGGUGCGCCGGAAACUGGGCCGCUGGAGUACGGGAGAGGCAAGCGGAAUUCCUGGUGUAGCGGUGAAAUGCGCAGAUAUCAGGAAGAACACCCGUGGCGAAAGCGGCUCUCUGGAACGGUACUGACGCUGAGACGCGAAAGCGUGGGGAGCGAACAGG